AGCUGUGGUAUAUUCCUCUCCACAUUGAGGGAGGGGGUAAAUUUCAAGAGCUUACACUGUACAGUUCCCUGGGCAGCGCAAGACAGUAUAAUUCUGGGGUUACACUCCAGGGGGACGUGUUCUCCUGAUUGCUGGG